rnacentral:lncRNA from 10 species
CCAGGAAGCAAGUGGGAGGAACGGGCUUCAGGGAGAAGGGGACGCAAGGCCAAGCCUGGGUCCAUGGGACAUGCCACACCCGCCACAUCUGCUUUAUCCCUACUUCGCAUCCUAGCCCGAGUCUAGAGUGCAUGGACACUCAGGAGUUCCGAGUUGCGCCAAAAAUACCUCCAGAGCCCCGUGUGGCUAAGAAUGCUAAGCUCUGGCCAACGUUGAGCCUCCCCUUUGUAACAGCCGGCACCCAAUUUGCUUUAUAUGGUCAUGAGCCCUCUUACCUGCAGCAUCAAAUGGGAGGCAUGAAGCCACGAUAAAGAACAAGCAAAGUGAGCUCCGUGAACGGGCUUUCCCAGGCUGCCUUCUGCACACAUGAGCCUACCCAGAGGGGACACAGAACAGGGAUGAGGCCUCUUGCAUCUGUGGGGGCUAUGAAGACAAAUGUUAUGUGUACCUAAAACUAAACCAGCACUCACUGCUUCCAGGAAGAGUUGGAAUAAAAAGGAAGGAGAAACUCACCGGAAAUGAAACUCAAAGGCCAGGAGUGAGGGCGGUUACCCGCCACACUCCUGUGAGAGCCUACCCAUCAUGGCGAAGCUGGAGAGUGGGCAGAUCCUUUCCCAGAGCCCCUCCAAGUCACCUUGGAGAUACCAUCAGACUUCCCUCUUUUCUUCAGAUUUCUUCAACCACUCCACAGACAUAUUUAAAGCACCUGCCACAGCUGUCUGGUAGGCACAAUGUGGAAAUAGCCAACCACCUGGGGUGCUGGAGGGGAGACCACCGAGGGCUGAGGGGGACAGGGCUGACCCUGGGGGUCACGGAAGCCUCUGCCUCUAGAGGGGGUGGAGGUUACUGGGGCCUGCUCCAGGUAGAGCUACCUCUCCCUCUCCCUCUUCUCAGCCUGGCAUCUCUACCCCCCAUGGGUGCUGUCACUCUGAGCACCUCUCACUCUCCAGAGUGCCCCUGGCACCCUGGUCUCCCUGCUUUUUGGCUCUCAGGAGUCUGCUCAGGGCCCAGCUGGCCCUAACACAGCGCGUUUCUCUCAGCAGAGUCUGAAGCCAGAAUACAGGCGACAUGUAAGAAUAAUGCCAAGGACAGGAGAGGAUGGGGCGGCCGAGGAGAAGCACCACGUUACCCUCAAGCCCUACCCUGUGGGCAGCUGUCCCCACCCCGGCUGUGCUUGUGGAGAUAUCUCCGUGUGGCCAAACCACAAGGCCCCCAUUUGGAGGAUCCCAUUUUCUAACCACCUUGGCCCAACAUCAAUAACAACAUUGCCCCAUAAGAAGCCGCGAGGCAUUUCCUCAGGGAACCACCAGCGCCAGGGCUCAAAGACCAAGUCCAGACACUAGGAACUCCCCUCAGGAGUGUAAAACCGAGUUCAGAAAUAAGAAAAACAAAGUUUCCAGCCCAAGUCUCCUCCAUGGGAGACACCCUCAGCGCCCCUCCUCACAGCUGCUAGGCCUCCUCCUCGGGCCGGCCCCUCAUUAGGAACUAACAGUCCCAGCCAUGCCAGCCUCCAGGCCUCCUUGUUAACUCCUUGGUUUCCCUUAGUGCUGCCAGGAGAAAAUUAGGCCUCAGAAAUCCUGAGCAGUACUGAGAGGCAGAGAGCACCUACCACAGAUGGUUAAUGGUGUGUACAUUCUAUGGUUUCUCUUAAUAAACCAAAUUAAUAAUAAUUGCUGCCAUUUAUAGAGUGCCUCUUAUGCUUUACCCACUUGCAUUAUGAACUCUUCUGCAGCCUCUCAUGUUUGCAACAACACUAGAAGGUAGGAAUUUCUUCGCCUAUCCUAUAAAUGAGAGCAUGGAGGCUGUGUAGCUGGCAAGCAGAUGUGUGGUUUAAACUCAGCUCUGUUCUGUUUUUCGCCCACCUUAUUACUUACUUUGAGCAAAACUGGAUUCUAAAAUGUGCAGAUUAAAGAGCUGACCACUACCCUUGCAUCGUCCAUCUGCAGAAGUUUUACAUCUUUUUCUUUUCCUUUUUUUUUUUUGAGAUGGAGUCUCACUCUGUCUUCCAGGCUGGAGUGCAGUGGUGUGAUCUCAGCUCACUGCAACCUCCACCUCCUAGGUUCAAGUGAUUCUCCUGCCUCAGCCUCCAGAGUAGCUGGGAUGACAGGUGCCUGCCACCAUGCCCGACUGAUUUUUGUAUUUUUAGUA